rnacentral:rRNA from 1 species
CAGUCGCCGCGGGAAAACGGAGGAUGCAAGCGUUAUCCGGAAUCAUUGGGUUUAAAGGGUCCGUAGGCGGUUUAAUAAGUCAGUGGUGAAAGCCCAUCGCUCAACGAUGGAACGGCCAUUGAUACUGUUAAACUUGAAUUAUUAGGAAGUAACUAGAAUAUGUAGUGUAGCGGUGAAAUGCUUAGAGAUUACAUGGAAUACCAAUUGCGAAGGCAGGUUACUACUAAUAUAUUGACGCUGAUGGACGAAAGCGUGGGGAGCGAACAGGAUUAGAUACCCGUGUAGUCCCUGUCUCUUAUAU